rnacentral:lncRNA from 1 species
GAUUGAACGCUAAGAGGAGACUGAGUGAGCUGAUGGAGGUUUUCCGAUUCUGGCUUUCUUUUGAUACCAGGCCUUACUCAGCAAACUUUCCAAUCCAGUGUCAACAUUUCACUCUCCUGUACCCUCUGGUCGUUACCAUGGGAUCCCAUCUGUGAAUUCAUUAUCAACCACAAAGUAUAAUGAAGAAACCAUCCACUCUGGAGUUGGAGAUUUCUGGCAUCCCAUUCAUGUUUAGCAGACGUUGACUUUGAUCGAGGCAUUGUACUCAUGUAAAGCAUGCUGUGUGACACCUGUGAUUAUGACGGCUCUUAAAAUCCUUUGAUUUUUGAGAGGGGUAGACUUACUCUCUAACUUAAAAAUUUUGAUUAAACCUAUGUAAUUCAGCAUUGGAACUGGCAUGCAGAGUGGGUGCUAAACUGAAACAACUGGGAACUUAUGUGGGAUGAAGAGCUGCCUCCGGUGGUCUCGGCAGUGUCUCAAGUCUCCCGUCGGGUAGAUUCUUGCAGAAUGAGGCUGGAAGUGCCACUCAGAGGAUCUGAUUCUAACCUCUGCAUAAGCAAAAACCCAGGCCUUGUGUUCCUCAAUUGGGGCCUGGGCUCUCAUAUGCCACUUAUUUUUUCUUAAGUGGAGCAAAGAUUGUGUCAAUAAAAGCAAAGAAUACUUGUUUCAUAUAUAUUUAAAGCUGACGAGUACUUUGUAUAUCACAUUAAGUAGGAAAUUGCUCCAGCCACACUUUGGUAUAUGCGAAUUUGUCAAUCCAUGCUUCUUGUUGAAAAUUUCCUAAGUCAUUGUCCUAAAACAUUUUAAGUAGGAAAGGAUUAUUUGUCAUGAUUGCUGAAAAACUAUCUUUGAGGGAGCACAGCGUCAGAGGUCCUUUAAUUCACUUGGUGGUUAAAAUGUGGGCAAGCACUGAAAGUAAUAUGAAUUCAGACUAAAACAAGAGAUGUGAGUCCAUUCUACUCUCUACUAGACAGAUGCCAUUUAGAGCAGUGCCCAACCUGGGUUUUCUGGACCUCUGAGGAG